CUGCCCCUGCAAGGUUGGUGAUGGCAUCAAAUAUUUGAGCCAACAUCUAUUUGAACGGGAGUCCACGUCGCCUUACGGUGAGCGACUCUUCCUUCGGGAACGUGAUUGCCUGAAGUAAAGCGCAGGACACCCCCUUUGAGUUAAAGGUUCAAGUAGGUUCGUGCCACACGGCGGCGCGGGGGCAUU
rnacentral:other from 1 species